UCUGUGCCUAAAAUCAAGGACCAUUACUUACUGUACUAGUGGUUCAAAUGCAGGUGCUAACUGCAAAGUGGACCUCAUUGCUUUUGGAGGACUGUCUGUGCCCCUCAGGUGAAUUUAGAGGUUCUACACAC
ensembl:snoRNA